AGGGAAUCUUCCACAAUGGACGCAAGUCUGAUGGAGCAACGCCGCGUGAGUGAAGAAGGUCUUCGGAUCGUAAAGCUCUGUUGUUGGUGAAGAAGGAUAGAGGCAGUAACUGGUCUUUAUUUGACGGUAAUCAACCAGAAAGUCACGGCUAACUACGUGCCAGCAGCCGCGGUAAUACGUAGGUGGCAAGCGUUGUCCGGAUUUAUUGGGCGUAAAGCGAGCGCAGGCGGAAUGAUAAGUCUGAUGUGAAAGCCCACGGCUCAACCGUGGAACUGCAUCGGAAACUGUCAUUCUUGAGUGUAGAAGAGGAGAGUGGAACUCCAUGUGUAGCGGUGGAAUGCGUAGAUAUAUGGAAGAACACCAGUGGCGAAGGCGGCUCUCUGGUCUGCAACUGACGCUGAGGCUCGAAAGCAUGGGUAGCGAACAGGAUUAGAUACCCUGGUAGUCCAUGCCGUAAACGAUGAGCGCUAGGUGUUGGGGACUUUCCGGUCCUCAGUGCCGCAGCAAACGUAUUAAGCGCUCCGCCUGGGGGAGUACGACCGCAAGGUUGAAAC
rnacentral:rRNA from 1 species